rnacentral:rRNA from 1 species
CGGUAAUUCCAGCUCCAAUAGCGUAUACUAAAGUUGUUGCAGUUAAAAAGCUCGUAGUUGGAUUUCUGCGGGGACGGAGCGGCCGGACGCAACUUGCGUCUCGAGCUAGCGCUUUCCCCGCAUCCUGCCGCGAACCGUGCUACCAUUAGUUUGGUGGCGCUGGGGAUCGGCUCGAUUACUUUGAGAAAAAUAGAGUGUUCAAAGCAGGCCACAUGCCUUGAAUAAGUUAGCAUGGAAUAAUGACUAAGGACUUCGGUUCUAUUUUGUUGGUGUUCGGGACUGAAGUAAUGAUUGAUAGGGACAGUUGGGGCGGUCUGUAUUCCAAAGCGAGAGGUGAAAUUCUUAGACCUUCGGAAGACAAACAGCUGCGAAAGCGUUCCGCAAGGAUGUUCCCUUUGAUCAAGAACGAAAGUUGGGGGAUCGAAGACGAUCAGAUACCGUCGUAGUCUCAACUAUAAACUAUACCAGCUAGGGAUCGGUCAACGUUUAAUUAUUCGACUUGAUCGGCACCUUAUGAGAAAUCAAAGCAUCUGGGUUCCGGGGGGAGUAUGGUCGCAAGGCUGAAACUUAAAGGAAUUGACGGAAGGGCACCACCAGCCGUGGAGCCUGUGGCUUAAUUUGACUCAACACGGGAAAACUUACCAGGUCCAGACAUAGUAAGGAUUGACAGAUUGAUAGCUCUUUCUUGAUUCUGUGGGUGGUGGUGCAUGGCCGUUCUUAGUUGGUGGAGUGAUUUGUCUGGUUAAUUCCGUUAACGAACGAGACCCCAGCCUGCUAAAUAGCGCGGCUGAGCUUUGCUCGGUGCGAGCUUCUUAGAGGGACUAUGAUGCGCGAUAGCACAUGGAAGUUUGGGGCAAUAACAGGUCUGUGAUGCCCUUAGAUGUUCUGGGCCGCACACGGGCUACACUGGCGCCUGCAACGAGCAUAUCAGCUGGCCCGAGAGGGUCUUGGCUAAUCUUUUGAACCGGCGCCGUGCUUGGGAUUGACCUUUGCAAUUGUUGGUCAUGCAACGAGGAAUGCCUUGUAAACGCGAGUCAUCAGCUCGCAUUGAAUACGUCCCUGCCCCUUGUACACACCGCCC